CUUAUAUUCCAUCAAAGGCAGCAGGAGUACUAAUUCUUUGGAAGUAUUUGUGUUAUCAAAGCUCACAAAAUUUCUAAGAGUUCAGAUAUAAAGUCCAACGACCUUCCAUGUUUUCUCUUCUAUUUCUAGGUCAGACUAACAACUUCGAGUAAAUCAAUUUAUGUAAAUAGACCAGUCUGAGCAUUCAAUGCAGAACUAGCCACACUCCAUUCGCUAGCUCAUCCAAUCCUUUCAACUAGGAUUUUGCAAACAACAUGCGACAUUUUCAAAAGCUCUUCCUUAUAAGCAACCAGGGUCAUGAUAUGAUUGUCAAUCAUGGCCAAUAGAAA
rnacentral:lncRNA from 1 species